AGGGCACGACACCGGAGAGGGAGCCUGAGAAACGGCUACCACAUCCAAGGAUGGCAGCAGGCGCGCAAAUUACCCAAUCCCGACACGGGGAGGUAGUGACAAUAAAUAACAAUACGGGGUCCUUUGGGUCUCGUAAUUGGAAUGAGUACAAUUUAAAUCUCUUAACGAGGAACAAUUGGAGGGCAAGUCUGGUGCCAGCAGCCGCGGUAAUUCCAGCUCCAAUAGCGUAUAUUAAAGUUGUUGCAGUUAAAAAGCUCGUAGUUGAAUUUCGGGGUCAGUAGGUCGGUCGUGCCAACGGUAUGAACUGGCCUCACUGAUUCCUCCCUCUUGCAGAACCGUGAUGCCAUUAACUUGGUGUGGCGGGGAAACAGGACUGUUACUUUGAAAAAAUUAGAGUGUUUAAAGCAGGCUAACGCUUGAAUACAUUAGCAUGGAAUAAUGAAAUAGGACGUCGAUCUUAUUUUGUUGGUUUCUAGGGUUGACGUAAUGAUUAAUAGGGAUAGUUGGGGGCAUUAGUAUUCAAUUGUCAGAGGUGAAAUUCUUGGAUUUAUUGAAGACUAACUACUGCGAAAGCAUUUGCCAAGGAUGUUUUCAUUAAUCAAGAACGAAAGUUAGGGGAUCGAAGACGAUCAGAUACCGUCGUAGUCUUAACCAUAAACUAUGCCGACUANGGAUCGGAUGAUGUUAAUUUUUUAAUGACUCAUUCGGCGCCUUACGGGAAA
rnacentral:rRNA from 2 species